rnacentral:rRNA from 1 species
GAAGGGGGCUAGCGUUGCUCGGAAUUACUGGGCGUAAAGGGCGCGUAGGCGGACAGUUUAGUCAGAGGUGAAAGCCCAGGGCUCAACCUUGGAAUUGCCUUUGAUACUGGCUGUCUUGAGUUCGGGAGAGGUGAGUGGAAUGCCGAGUGUAGAGGUGAAAUUCGUAGAUAUUCGGCGGAACACCAGUGGCGAAGGCGACUCACUGGCCCGAUACUGACGCUGAGGCGCGAAAGCGUGGGGAGCAAACAGGAUUAGAUACCCUGGUAGUCCACGCCGUAAACGAUGAGUGCUAGUUGUCGGCAUGCAUGCAUGUCGGUGACGCAGCUAACGCAUUAAGCACUCCGCCUGGGGAGUACGGUCGCAAGAUUA